GUGUCAGCAGCCGCGGUAAUACAGAGGUCCCAAGCGUUGUUCGGAUUCACUGGGCGUAAAGGGUGCGUAGGUGGCGGAGUAAGUCGGAUGUGAAAUCUCCGAGCUCAACUCGGAAACUGCAUUGGAAACUACUCUGCUCGAGGGUUGGAGGGGGGACUGGAAUACUUGGUGUAGCAGUGAAAUGCGUAGAUAUCAAGUGGAACACCAGUGGCGAAGGCGAGUCCCUGGACAACUCCUGACACUGAGGCACGAAAGCUAGGGGAGCAAACAGGAUUAGAUACCCUGGUAGUCCUAGCCGUAAACGGUGCAUGUUUGCUGUAAAAGGAAUCGACCCCUUUUGUGGCGUAGCCAACGCGUUAAACAUGCCGCCUGGGAAGUACGGUCGCAAGAUUAAA
rnacentral:rRNA from 1 species